rnacentral:lncRNA from 1 species
AGCGGGCGUUGCUUCUUUUUCCUUCGCUGGAACAUCUUCUUCUGCUGUUGGAUUCUCCACCUCGGUCGGUUUUGGUUCUUCCUCCACAGGUGCGUUUACUUCCUCCGUUGACUUGUCAACUGGCGUUGUUUGAUCCACACUUUGUUCUAGUGUACUCGCUGCUGGUGCUUGCAUAAGAUCGGCUGCUUUCUCGGCCUCGUCUGGCGUUGCUUCCUCGACUGGAUUCUCAUCAGCUUGUCUUGGCCCUACGGCCGGCGAUAUUUC